UCUUCCUAGUCCUGAAUCGGGGAUGGAUCUUUCGCACGAAGGAGGGAUUCGUCCCGCAAAUCCACCAAACGACACAAUUUGGGGGUGAAGAGGAGGUACUCUCAAACCCGACGAACCCUGCAGCAGCCGUGCACGGAUUUCUCUCCUUCUUCCCCUCCAAAUUGAAUCUCCUCAGAAAUCCCAUUCUGAAAACCGCCUCGCCGCUUCCAAAUCUCCUACGCACCGAAACCCCCUCGCUCCCCCGGCCAUCCAUCGCCGGCCUCGGUCCGCAUCCCAUUCUCCCGAUCCCUCCAAACCAGUACUCUUUACAUGGUUUCCUCCACAUGGCACCAAUGUGGCGAGUUUGGUCCAUUCGAUCGGAGGAACGAGGAGGUUCAGCGCCGAAUCGGACGGCCGGGAGUCUCUGAAUCACGCUGUGGUUAUCGUCGGGGCGGGGCCUGCGGGGCUGUCGGCGGCGGUACGCCUGAUGCUGCUGUGCCGGGAGGGGAACACCGAUCUCGAGCUUUAGUUCUUGGAGAAGGGCUCAGAAGUGGAGGCCAUUUGAUGGCUCAGAGUAUUGCAACUGCUUGCCAGUCCUCAUGUGAGACAUUCACAUCAGGGAGACACACAUGGACGGGGGAGACAGUGACAAUCUGACUGCCCAGAACUAGCCAUGCCUUUUGUAGCUAGGCCCCAAUAGAAGUUCCUGUUUCUCACGAGAAGUUUUGGUUCUUACAAGGACUUGUGCACUGUCACUUCCAUCACUUUUUGAAAUAAAGGAAACUAUGUGAUAAGGGUUCAGAACUGGGGCAUGAUAGCAGCAGGUUUAAAAAUUUGCCUAUGCCUCCUUGCAAUGCAAAGUCCAGAUGGAAAUUACUUCCUCCACUGGAAAUCAUCGAGAACUUGUUACAGCUGAGAUGCAUUUAAGAAGCUCAGUGAAACAGGCUGUGAACUUUACAGAUACUAAGGAAUUCAGGGAACUUAAAGCCUGGCUCGAUGAAAUAAAGAACCGGCUGGAUACUGCCUCUAGUGAAGGUGCUUAGUUGGGAAGGAUUUGGCUUUACACUAAUGUAAUGAAGCGUUGUACAGAUUGAAAUGUCCCCAUGAUUACGUCAACUGUAGCAGAUCUCCAUGGAAUCUGAAGCUUACUGAGUUGCAAACAAUUUAGUUACAAUCAGUCCCAGCCACUCGUGAUUUCUUCAUAACAAGGUUGAUGAUACUUCAUGGUGGUGGUGGGGGGUAGAUUUGAAUAAAAAAACUGGUCAGAUCUUGUAUCAGUUUUUCAAAUAAUGGGUUUUGAGCAUCUUAUGUACAAAAUCGUUAAAGAGGGGAAGUAUCAUUAGUUUAUUUAUUCAGGGAAAAGGUUGAGCAGAACCUAGUUGACUCAUUGAGAUAACAAAAAUGGGUGCACAGAAGGAAAGGGUAUUGUUUAUUUGUAUCCAUCUGUCAGAGCCAAUUCGGUGCAAAUAUGUCACGUCGCGAUGCGCACUAUGAACUGAAACCCAAUUCAAGAAUCUCUGUUAGUUAAAGUCCGUGAUUGGAUGCCUUUGUAUCUAAUAGAUUAAUAGAUCUCAGUUUGUAUCUACAUCA